rnacentral:rRNA from 1 species
AGACCCGAAACCCGGUGAUCUAGCCAUGGGCAGGUUGAAGGUUGGGUAACACUAACUGGAGGACCGAACCGACUAAUGUUGAAAAAUUAGCGGAUGACCUGUGGCUGGGGGUGAAAGGCCAAUCAAACCGGGAGAUAGCUGGUUCUCCCCGAAAGCUAUUUAGGUAGCGCCUCGUGAAUUCAUCUCCGGGGGUAGAGCACUGUUUCGGCUAGGGGGCCAUCCCGGCUUACCAACCCGAUGCAAACUGCGAAUACCGGAGAAUGUUAUCACGGGAGACACACGGCGGGUGCUAACGUCCGUCGUGAAGAGGGAAACAACCCAGACCGCCAGCUAAGGUCCCAAAGUCAUGGUUAAGUGGGAAACGAUGUGGGAAGGCCCAGACAGCCAGGAUGUUGGCUUAGAAGCAGCCAUCAUUUAAAGAAAGCGUAAUAGCUCACUGGUCGAGUCGGCCUGCGCGGAAGAUGUAACGGGGCUAAACCAUGCACCGAAGCUGCGGCAGCGACACUGUGUGUUGUUGGGUAGGGGAGCGUUCUGUAAGCCUGUGAAGGUGGCCUGUGAGGGUUGCUGGAGGUAUCAGAAGUGCGAAUGCUGACAUAAGUAACGAUAAAGCGGGUGAAAAGCCCGCUCGCCGGAAGACCAAGGGUUCCUGUCCAACGUUAAUCGGGGCAGGGUGAGUCGACCCCUAAGGCGAGGCCGAAAGGCGUAGUCGAUGGGAAACGGGUUAAUAUUCCCGUACUUGGUGUUACUGCGAAGGGGGGACGGAGAAGGCUAUGUUGGCCGGGCGACGGUUGUCCCGGUUUAAGCGUGUAGGCUGGUUUUCCAGGCAAAUCCGGAAAAUCAAGGCUGAGGCGUGACGACGAGGCACUACGGUGCUGAAGCAACAAAUGCCCUGCUUCCAGGAAAAGCCUCUAAGCAUCAGGUAACAUCAAAUCGUACCCCAAACCGACACAGGUGGUCAGGUAGAGAAUACCAAGGCGCUUGAGAGAACUCGGGUGAAGGAACUAGGCAAAAUGGUGCCGUAACUUCGGGAGAAGGCACGCUGACAC